GUUGACCGCUGGCGGCAGGCUUAACACAUGCAAGUCGAGCGGGGUGAUGGUGCUUGCACUAUCACUUAGCGGCGGACGGGUGAGUAAUGCUUAGGAAUCUGCCUAUUAGUGGGGGACAACAUCUCGAAAGGGAUGCUAAUACCGCAUACGUCCUACGGGAGAAAGCAGGGGAUCACUUGUGACCUUGCGCUAAUAGAUGAGCCUAAGUCGGAUUAGCUAGUUGGUGGGGUAAAGGCCUACCAAGGCGACGAUCUGUAGCGGGUCUGAGAGGAUGAACCGCCACACUGGGAAUGAGACACGGCCCAGGAGCCUACGGGAGGCAGCAGUGGGGAAUAUUGGACAAUGGGGGGAACCCUGAUCCAGCCAUGCCGCGUGUGUGAAGAAGGCCUUACGGUUGUAAAGCACUUUAAGCGAGGAGGAGGCUCUUUUGGUUAAUACCCAAGAUGAGUGGACGUUACUCGCAGAAUAAGCACCGGCUAACUCUGUGCCAGCCGCCGCAGUAA
rnacentral:rRNA from 1 species